rnacentral:lncRNA from 1 species
AUGUUGGAACCCCCUCAUUCUAAAGAGAGUUCUAGAAACAUCCAUGCAAGCCAGCGACCAUGGCCCCCACGUGAGAGAAGAGGGACAUUUGGAAGGAGAUUCCAGGAGGGAAUUCACAGGAGGAGACGCUCCUCGGCCCAGAGCAGGGAUCGGGCCAGGGCAUCACACAGAAGCCAGUGCAGAGUGCGGCCCCUGAGCUCAUGUUCCUGGAUGACUCUCAGACUGGCAGGUCUGCAUCUCCAGGGAACUGAUUCCUGCACGGUCACCACAAGCAGCUCUGCCGUCCAUCAGGACAGAGGCAGACGGUCAGGGACACAUGUGGAGCUCGAUGAGCCCGAGACCUCACCCAGGCCACCACACUCAGAGACUCUAACUGGGCCCCAGAGAGGGGCAGGACCCGGUCCUCACGAAGCGCCCGGCUAGUGGGGGACCCAGCGGCCAGCGGUCAACAGCCACAUGCACAGCAGACAAAAUAACCCCAGGCGAAGGCGGCGACCCCAGCAGGAAGCACUCAGCUCCAACUCGGG